ensembl:lncRNA
UGCCAGCUACCAUUCAGUCUGAGAUAUUAAGAAUAAAUAAAUGUGCAUAAUGUGGAAAUGAACAGAUUUUAUUUUUAUUUAUUCCUACAGCUGCUGCAGGUAAAGUUCCAGAAUGUGGAGGAAUUUAGUCUCACAAUCACAGACAAUAAAUAUUAUCUGAAAGUCGGGUUAUUGUUGUUUAUCAGCACAAUACAAAAAGAUUAAUGUUAGACAUAUUCCAGUUAAGACUCUAGAAUAUCAUGAUUUAUGUAAAUUUACCUCAAUAAUAUGAAUGUUCAGGUUAAGAUUGUACAGUGAUAUUUAUUAUGUAAGUUUAGCUGAUUAAAGUUUAUGACUCUGCACUACAAUAUUAUUAUUUAAAUUGACAUCAUUAUUAUAAUAUUUAGGGUCAGACCCUACAGUAUUGAGAUUAAGAAAUCAAAUAUUCUAUAAAAUGUAAAUACACUGAACUCAUUUGGAUAUAUUUAAGUGAGACUCUACAAUAUUAUUUGACACAAAUCUAUCUAAAUCAAAAUUUUAAUCAUUUUUACUCCAAACAUUUACUGGACUGAUUUAAACAUUAAAAUCACUCCUUUCUAAUCCUCUGCUGUACGUUCAAACCUGAGGCCUUAAAUAGAAACACACAAGUAUCUGAUUGAAGGAACUUCUGCAGAGUCCUGGUUCCAGAACAUGAUGAUAGAAUUAUAGACAAACUUUAACAAAAGCUGCCUGAGAGUUUACAGGUUUUUAUGUUGGAUUUCUUCAGUAAUUUAAUGAGAGUUAUCAGCAAAAAUCAAGUGUUCAUUUGAUGAACUUCAUUUCCUAAAACAUCCAGAAUUGGAGCUCAUAUCUUUGGCAGCUGUAAAGUUUCUGCUCCUUCAAAGUUCACAACACAAUGAAUGAAUUCCUAAAACACUCUCAAUGCUGGAGAGCGUUUGUGAUGCUGAAGCAGUGAUCAGUUUUUCUGUUUCUUCUCUGGAGAUGCACAAUGAGGGACGUCUGCAGAGACUGAGAAAGAGUCUCACCACAUCCUGACAUGAGGAAAAAGACUUUAUUGAAGACUACAAUGAGAAAAACUAUCAGACAGCAGACGGCUGCAUUCAAGUCUGUAGCUGCUGAAUUCAUGGAUGAAUCAUCUGGCACUAGAGAAGAAGACCAUCAAACAUCCACGUCAGCUGAUGGAGGUCCAAGAGUCUCACCCAACAAACAACCGACAGAGUGAAGACCUCGAAUCUGAUUGGACGGCCUCCUAUUCAGCCACAUUUUAGGCUGUUAGAUUGUUCCAGAUAAGACAAGUACAAGAUUCUUCAGAGCCGUUCUACCACGAGCCUGACAGGAAGAACUCC